rnacentral:rRNA from 1 species
AGUGAACGCUGGCGGUAGGCCUAACACAUGCAAGUCGAACGGCAGCACAGUAAUAGCUUGCUCUUACGGGUUGCGAGUGGCGGACGGGUGAGGAAUACAUCGGAAUCUACUUUUUCGUGGGGGAUAACGUAGGGAAACUUACGCUAAUACCGCAUACGACCUACGGGUGAAAGCAGGGGAUCUUCUGACCGUGCGCGAUUGAAUUAGCCGAUGUCGGAUUAGCUAGUUGGCGGGGUAAAGGCCCACCAAGGCGACGAUCCGUAGCUGGUCUGAGAGGAUGAUAGGCCGCACUGGAAGUGAGCCACGGUCAAGACUACUGAGGGACGCAGCAGUCGGGAACAUUGGGCAACGGGGGCAAACAUGGUACAGCGAUAGCGAGUCGGUGGAGGAGGCCUUCCGGUUGGAAAGACGUUUUGUUGGGAAAGAAAAGCAGCCGGUUAAUACCCAGCUGUUCUGACGGUACCCAAAGAAUAAGCACCGGCUAACUUCGUG